GGAUUGCGNAUGGGGGAACCCUGACGCAGCAACGCCGCGUGGGUGAUGAAGGCCUUCGGGUCGUAAAGCCCUGUCAGGUGGGAAGAAACUCGUGGAUGCUAAUAUCAUCCACGCUUGACGGUACCACCGGAGGAAGCACCGGCUAACUCCGUGCCAGCAGCCGCGGUAAUACGGAGGGUGCAAGCGUUGUUCGGAAUUAUUGGGCGUAAAGCGCGUGUAGGUGGUUGGGUAAGUCAGAUGUGAAAGCCUCCUGCUUAACAGGAGAAGUGCAUUUGAAACUGCUCGGCUAGAGUACGGGAGAGGAGAGUGGAAUUCCCGGUGUAGAGGUGAAAUUCGUAGAUAUCGGGAGGAACACCAGUGGCGAAGGCGGCUCUCUGGUCCGAUACUGACGCUGAGACGCGAAAGCGUGGGGAGCAAACAGGAUUAGAUACCCUGGUAGUCCACGCCGUAAACGAUGGGCACUAGGUGUAGGAGGUAUUGACCCCUUCUGUGCCGAAGCUAACGCAUUAAGUGCCCCGCCUGGGGAGUACGGCCGCAAGGCUAAAACUCAAAAAAAUUGACGGA
rnacentral:rRNA from 1 species